GGAGUCCCGGAUCCGCUGUCGCCACUCGGGGCCCUUCUGCAGAGGCGCCCUCCUUUCCGGCGUGGGAGUCUUCAGCCAACCUCCCACAAUCAAGUUCCCCCCUUCUCAGGAAUGGAAAUAGCCAUCCCCCAAUUUCCUAGAUUCCCGCCGUCUCCCCGUCCCUUCUUCCCCAGGGUGGAAGUCUUGAAACCACCGUCCCCUCCUCUCUUCAAACUGCCUCCCUCCUUACUGAGAAUGGAAAUCCACUACUUCCUCCCUCUCUCCCGGGUGGAUUCCCUCGGCCCUGCUAUCUGGUCUAUUACGGGCCUCUUGGGUUCCGAAGACCAAGCUCUGUAAACACUCCCAUUUCUAGGCCACCUUGUUCUGUUUAUGUCCCUUGUGCUUUCUCUUCAUUACUACUGAAAAUCCUUUGGAAAAAGUCCAAGUGUCUUGGCACAGCCAGGGGAGAGCUUGUCUGACAGUGACCCAGGGAAGGCUAUGGCGAGAAGGCCCGCCUGGGUGGGGCGGGGUGGGGAGGGGUGGGGCAGGGAGAGCCGGCUCGCUCCUUCUUGUCUGCCCGGGGCCCCCGGUCCCUUCCCAUCCCCCACCUUAGGCUGAUGGCUUUAGGGAUUUACAGGUAUAAUCUUCUUGCAGAGGUCACAAGAGCCUAAGAAGGACCUUUCGGGCAGUUGCUGUGGGGUGGUUGGCUAACUUCACGCCAGGGUCAGGGUCGGGGUGGAGGUGCUGAAGUUCCAGGAGGCUGGAGCGCGAGGAGGGGGAGGUAGGGUUUGCGCUACCCUAAUCCAAGGAUCCUGACAACUCCUGUGAACUAGAGCUAACCCUGUGGGUUAUAGAGGUUGCAACUGGCAGUGCACCUGUUGCAUCCAGCCCACAAUCACAGGGGAAAAAAUGCUUUUCAUCGAAUAAAUGGACAACACUUAAAAAUUGGGAGAUUUAAUAGAUCUAGCUUUUUAUCCUCUCUUGAAAACUAAGAAUGUCUGCCAGUGCUGGGCCUGUCUUCAGCAUGGCAGGCAUAGAGCGCAGGAGUGGCUGUCCUCUGCACCGGGAGCAGGGAAUAUGUUGUUCUAUAAGCCUCUGGCCCUAGCCGGCCAGCUUUUCUCUUACAUGACUUUCUUGGUCCUUAUAGCUUUUAAGUUUACCAUUUCUGUGCAAUACAGCCAUCUCUAUAACCACUGAAGUACCCAACUUGCUCAUAGAGCUACCCAAAUGCAUCAUUAAUCAAUAUUUACCAAGGGCCAGGUACUGAGCAAAAUGCUUUAUGUACUAGAUAGACACUGUUACUGUCUCUCGUGGAGUUUACAGACUGGUGUGCAAGGACUGACUCCCCCAAAAAGCCAGUAUUCCUGAACCACAUCUUGAUAGUGAGGCUCGUGGCACACUCAAGACCUCAAGCAGUAGUGGAUUGGAACUCCAGAAUCAACUUGUUGAAACUGUGUGAAGCCUUAUUUCAUUGUUUAGGGGUAGGGGUCAGAGGUGAGCUUCCCCCUCUGGAGAAUGUGUGAGAGUUUUUGGGGUCUCCCACAGAAACUGCAGGACCAGAGGCUACUGCUCCUGACCCAUAUGUCAUAAGACAAGUCCUAAGGAUGUCCCUUCUCCAAAGGACUCAGAACCAGCAGUCACAGAGUCCUCCUGAGGCUGACAUUUAGGCACUGGCUGCCAGCACUCACUGCAGCCUGCCUUGGUGAGGCCACUGUAGCUACAAAAGCCAGUAAACCUGCUACUGGCUCUUAUAGCCCCCACUUCCAAAUCCUGAUACCCUCUAGAAGUACAAACAAGAAGCCCAAGGCCAGGUGUCUUGAACCAAGGCUGAAAGCUGUAGAGAAGCUACACCCCAGACAUCCUUAGGAGAACUCUGGGCUAAGCAGGUGGAGAAGCCCAACGAAGCUGUACAGGUAGGACCUUUUGACCCUUAUCAAUGCCAGGAGCGGUGCGUCGGCAAUCUGUAGGAGGAGGACGUUUGGCAAUAUGAAAACAUGGCCACAAAAUCUUUCCAUUCCUCUCGUUGAGAAACAAGAUCUAUGUUACCUCCCCUUUAAUCUGGAUGCUAUGUAACUUCUGAGGUUAAGUAAUGAAAGGCCCUUCAACAUCCCCUGUUCACUGGACCCCUGAGCUGACAUGUUAGAAGUCUGACUACUGUGAUGCUGCCAUGCUGUGAGAAAGCCCAAGCUACAAGUAAAGGUCAUAUGUGGGUGCUUCAAUUGACAGUCCCAGCUGAGCCCAGCCUUCAAGUCCCCACAGCCAGGCACCAGACAUAGGACUGAAGAAGCCUUCAGAUGAUUACAGCCCCUAGCCCUUUAAGUCAUCCCCAACUGCUUGAGCCUUCCAGCUGAGCCCUAGACAUCACAAAGGAGAGACAAGUCAUCCUUGCUCUGCCCUGACCUGACCCAGAGAAUCUGUGAACACUAUGAAACGGUUGUUGUUUUACACUGUAGAUAUAACCAGGCAGGCAGAAUUCAUCUCUGAGGAACUGGUUCUUUUUCCUUGAAAGCUGAUUCAUGGCCCUUUGGUUAUGACAGGAAGGGUCCCAGUUCAUCUGCAGAGAAGAGCUGCAACAAGGAAACUGGAUUGCUCUGCACGGAGGAGCAAUAGGAAUUCAGGAGUUGUCUUCUUGUAGCUAAAUGAUGAGUGGUAGGGGUAAGAUUGGAACUGGGAGAAGAGAGGAUACAGGAGAAAAGCUUGCGUAAGAAGAAGGUGAAAUGGUAGAAAGCUGGACUCUAAGAAGGAAAGUAACUGGUGAGAAAUUCCGACGGAUGGCCAAGGGACUCGAGGAAUGGAGAUGUCUAAUGUUCUAUUUUAAGUUGGUUCCUGCUCCUUGGUGCUGCUCUAUUACCUCCAAACUUUCAGAAAAAGUCUGACAGAAGAGACAGAAACUAUAAACUAUAAUUUGGUUUCGAUUCAGGUCACUAAAUGCCAUUUCUGGCAUCCCUGAACUUGUGAACGAUCAAUGAUCAUAUGAUCCUGUGAGUUACUAUCAUCUCUAACCUGUGUACAACCGCCACAGCAUGAAUUAGUGAAAGGAUACAUAGUAAAGCCAGCAAAGAAGAAAGGCUUUGGGGCAAAGCCAGGAGAAACCACAAGCUUCCAAGUGAACCCUUCCGGUGGAGUUGCAUGAGGACUCACUUCAUUCUCCCAGCAACAGUGUGUGACAACACAUGGUGGUGUUGCCAAUUGGAGAAGCUCACCCAAGCCUUGGUGUCCGAAGCUCUUAAUGAGGUGUCAGUCAUGGAGACAUGCAAAGCCUGUGUAAAUGGCCUCAGCUGCCCCAAUAACUCCCUCUCCCCCUACCCCCAGAGCAAAACUAAGAGUUCGUCAUAAGUCAUUUUAUUAGGAUAAACUUAUCGGGUCAAACUGAUAUAGCCUCUCCCAAGGCCCCAGGCAUACAAAAACAUUCAUCAGUCAGAAUAUUCCAAGGGCCCCCAAAACUCAAGCACCUGCACCUCUUCUCCAAGGACUGCCUUCACACAGCUGGAACCACUUUGCUCACCUUUAAAAAGAGCCAUAGGUACCUAGGAUCUGCCUCCACGCUGGGAUGGCCCUUGCCUAAGCCUGACAGGUGCAGGAGCGAAAGAGUGAGGCAUCCUUGCCUUGCAUGUAGAAAACGUUGAGGUGUAGCUUGUACUCCAGAGUUUCCCUGUAGGAUAGUGUUGACUCUAACCUCUAUGAGACUUUGCCUGAAAUCACUCUCUUGCUUGACUUCCUUUUUUUUCUUGUCCUCCUACAUCCGCUCCUUUACUUGUCUCCCUAGCAGCAUUUCAGUGAUGUGCUGACACUGGCUAGUUCCAAAAGCUGAUUGUUAGCAACUCUUCCCAACUCCAUAUUCAGAGAUAUCCUGUUGAUAGCUUUAAACUGGUCACGGUGGAAGUACUCACUAUAGAGUAUUUGUGGAAAUUGUUGAAUGCUUGCUUUAUUUAUCAAGCUUAUUUAUUUUCUUUCCAUAAAGCCAGUUGUUACUCAUUUACUAUCACACCACUGGGCACUUCCUUAAUAAAUCACUUGAAUAUGAA